CGAUUAAGUGCCUUGGAACAGGCUGCCGUAGAGGGUGAGAGCCCCGUGAAUCGCUGGAGACCGAUCAAUUAGUGCCCGCCGAAGAGUCGAGUUGUUUGGGAAUGCAGCUCUAAGUGGGUGGUAUAUUCCAUCUAAGGCUAAAUAUUAGCGAGAGACCGAUAGCAAACAAGUACAGUGAUGGAAAGAUGAAAAGAACUUUGGAAAGAGAGUGAAAUAGUACGCGAAAUUGUUGAAAGGGAAGGGUAUUUGAUCCGACAUGGUGUUUAGCAGCGGCCCGUUCCUCGU
rnacentral:rRNA from 1 species